UACAGAGGUCUCAAGCGUUGUUCGGAUUCAUUGGGCGUAAAGGGUGCGUAGGCGGCGCGGUAAGUCGGGUGUGAAAUCUCGGGGCUUAACUCCGAAACUGCAUUCGAUACUGCCGUGCUUGAGGACUGGAGAGGAGACUGGAAUUUACGGUGUAGCGGUGAAAUGCGUAGAUAUCGUAAGGAAGGCCGGUGGCGAAGGCGGGUCUCUGGACAGUUCCUGACGCUGAGGCACGAAGGCCAGGGGAGCAAACGGG
rnacentral:rRNA from 1 species